GUGGGGAAUAUUGCGCAAUGGGGGAAACCCUGACGCAGCAAUACCGCGUGAGUGAAGAAGGUUUUCGGAUCGUAAAACUCUUUUAUUGGGGAAGAAGAAGUGACGGUACCCAAUGAAGAAGUCCCGGCUAACUACGUGCCAGCAGCCGCGGUAAUACGUAGGGGACAAGCGUUGUCCGGAAUCACUGGGCGUAAAGGGCGCGUAGGCGGUUUUAUAAGUCAGAUGUGAAAGGUACCGGCUCAACCGGUGACGUGCAUUUGAAACUGUAAGACUUGAGUACUGGAGAGGCAAGUGGAAUUCCUAGUGUAGCGGUGAAAUGCGUAGAUAUUAGGAGGAACACCGGUGGCGAUGGCGGCUUGCUGGACAGAUACUGACGCUGAGGUGCGAAAGCGUGGGGAGCGAACAGGAUUAGAUACCCUGGUAGUCC
rnacentral:rRNA from 1 species